CCUACGGGGGCUGCAGUGGGGAAUAUUGCCCAAUGGACGAAAGUCUGAUGCAGCAACGCCGCGUGGAGGAUGACACCUUUCGGUGCGUAAACUCCUUUUAUAUAGGAAGAUAAUGACGGUACUAUAUGAAUAAGCACCGGCUAACUCCGUGCCAGCAGCCGCGGUAAUACGGAGGGUGCAAGCGUUACUCGGAAUCACUGGGCGUAAAGAGCGUGUAGUCGGGUAUAUAAGUCAGAAGUGAAAUCCAAUAGCUUAACUAUUGAACUGCUUUUGAAACUGUAUACCUAGAAUGUGGGAGAGGUAGAUGGAAUUUCUGGUGUAGGGGUAAAAUCCGUAGAGAUCAGAAGGAAUACCGAUUGCGAAGGCGAUCUACUGGAACAUUAUUGACGCUGAGACGCGAAAGCGUGGGGAGCAAACA
rnacentral:rRNA from 1 species